GAGGUAUUGGGGAGAGGUGAUUAAGCAUGACAUGACUAGAAUGCGGGUUUCUGAGGACAUGACCCUUGAUAGGAAAGUCUGGAGGUCUAGUAUCAGGGUAGUAGGAUAGGGGCCCCUAGAGUUUUCCGUACUCCUCACCCGGGGUUGAGUGAGGCUUGGCAGGGCUAUCCAUAGAUGAUUUGUGUAUUGGAUUGUGUCUCCCUUAUU
rnacentral:lncRNA from 1 species